rnacentral:rRNA from 1 species
GUGGGGAAUAUUGGGCAAUGGAGGCAACUCUGACCCAGCCAUGCCGCGUGGGUGACGAAGGUCUUCGGAUUGUAAAGCCCUUUCGGCGGAGACGAUGAUGACGGUAUCCGCAGAAGAAGCCCCGGCUAACUUCGUGCCAGCAGCCGCGGUAAUACGAAGGGGGCUAGCGUUGUUCGGAAUUACUGGGCGUAAAGGGCGUGUAGGCGGCCCGCUAAGUCAGGUGUGAAAGGCCUGGGCUCAACCCAGGAAAUGCGCCUGAGACUGACGGGCUUGAAUCCGGGAGAGGAUGGUGGAACUCCCAGUGUAGAGGUGAAAUUCGUAGAUAUUGGGAAGAACACCCGUGGCGAAGGCGGCCAUCUGGACCGGUAUUGACGCUAAGGCGCGACAGCGUGGGGAGCAAACAGGAUUAGAAACCCUUGUAGUCC